rnacentral:rRNA from 1 species
GACGAACGCUGGCGGCGUGCUUAACACAUGCAAGUCGAACGGAAAGGCCCUGCUUUUGUGGGGUGCUCGAGUGGCGAACGGGUGAGUAACACGUGAGUAACCUGCCCUUGACUUUGGGAUAACUUCAGGAAACUGGGGCUAAUACCGGAUAGGAGCUCCUGCUGCAUGGUGGGGGUUGGAAAGUUUCGGCGGUUGGGGAUGGACUCGCGGCUUAUCAGCUUGUUGGUGGGGUAGUGGCUUACCAAGGCUUUGACGGGUAGCCGGCCUGAGAGGGUGACCGGCCACAUUGGGACCGAGAUACGGCUCAGACUCCUACGGGAGGCAGCAGUGGGGAAUAUUGCACAAUGGGCGGAAGCCUGAUGCAGCAACGCCGCGUGCGGGAUGACGGCCUUCGGGUUGUAAACCGCUUUCGCCUGUGACGAAGCGUGAGUGACGGUAAUGGGUAAAGAAGCACCGGCUAACUACGUG